ensembl:lncRNA
UUUUUCUGGCAGCAUCAUUGAAGGACUUUGACCUCCUCAGAUUUUCUUACAUUAACAGAAUCUCAGCUCUGGCCCAGAUCUCCUCAUCACAGGCACUUGGAUCUGUUGGAUUUUGUCAGCUCCCUGCCUGGGUCUGGCCAAGCAGUGCCCCCCCUUCUCGCAGGAAGAGCAGGGUGUUGUUCUCCAGAGGGAUGCUGGCCUCUCCUUCCCUUUUCCACACAAGGAACCCCUCCUGACCCCCCUGCACAGCCCCUCUCCCACAGAGCCAGCAGCCAGGUGCUGCCAAGGCUCCUUCAAACACAAAUUGCUCCCCUCAAUAACAUUUCCAAUGCAAAUACCAGUUGUGUUUGCAGGCACACAGGCCCAGGGGGAAGUGCAGGGGAGAAUUUAUCCUCCAUCUCCAAAAAAGCUGUGCAAAGCCCAUGUUGCAGGUUUUGUCCUUUUCUCUCCCGUGUUUGUGUUUGUUGUAGGGUACAAGGGACACUGGAUCCCAUCUCUCCAGACAGGUUUCCCACCUCAUGCAUACAAAAGCCUCUGCAAGCAGAACUCACUGAACACACACAAAAUAUUUCUCCCCAAGUUGCCUAACAAACCCCUAAAGGCAGAACCUGCAGCCAAGGUGCAGAGGAGAGAUAGUAAAUCAGGCACUACAGUGCUUUCAACUCCAAUUUCCUUGUCCUACCUCCUGAUAAGAUGUUGCUGAGACCUCUUCCGUUUCUCAGUUCCACUCUAGCAUGUGGAUUUGGCACUCGUGAACUUUUUAAUUUCAUAAACCACCAGUGCUUUGCCUUCCUUUUUGCACCCCUGUGCCUUCUUGGAGCUCUCUAAGCCAGGUGCAGCCACCUGAUAAUUCCCUGUAAUGCAAUCACAGGGCCUCAGUGCCAGGACUGAGCUGAGCUGCAGCCUCCACUCAAGGACACCAGUGCUGAUAAAAGAGGGGACUCAAAGAGAUGAGGAACUUGAACCACAUCACAUAAACCCCCUGAUUUUGCUGCUCCUCACAUUGAAAUCCUCCUGGUUAACAAAAUCCUGCUUGCCUUCAUUUCCCAGGCUCCACACAUCUCAUCUCCAAGUGUACUGAUAUAAAAAUAACAGCCUUUGGCUCGCUGGUGAGUGUUUUGUGUCCUCAGUGCCCCUGAGGAAAGGGCACACACUGCUGGUGCCUUCCUUGAGGAAAAUCCCACCCCUCUUUUUGCACUCCAGCCAUCAGGACCAGCAUGAGGCAGUUGUGCUCAUCCAGUUAAAGGGGGAAAAGCAGGGAAGUUAAGAGAGGUUAAACAGACUUAGGAACACUCUCAGCCUUUUGUGCACGACCCUGUGCUUAGGGGCAGCCCACAUCAGAUUAAAUCCUCUUUAAGAGCUGCUCUGGCUUUGCCCCUGGACCUUUCUGUUUGUUCCCUUGGAGACAA